UCUCCGUUGGUGAACCAGCGGAGGGAUCAUUACCGAGUUUACAACUCCCAAACCCCUGUGAACAUACCUAUCGUUGCCUCGGCGGUGCCCGCUCCGGCGGCCCGCCAGAGGACCCCCAAACUCUUGUAUUAUACAGUAUCUUCUGAGUAACACGAUUAAAUAAAUCAAAACUUUCAACAACGGAUCUCUUGGUCCUG
rnacentral:misc_RNA from 1 species